CAGCCAUACCCACUCAUUUAUGUAUUAUCCAUGGCUGCUUUUUCUCUACAGUGGCAGAAUUGAGCUAUUGCGACAGACACUGUGUGCCUCCCCAAGCCUGAAAUAUUCACUCUUUGCCCUUAUAGGGAAAGUUGGGUCAAGCCCUGUUGUACUUGUCUCCCCCAGUUCCCCAGCUGAGUUGAGCUCCACGGCGCUAAUUUGAGCUCCACGGCGCUAAUUUGCUUGCUAACAUACCUUCUAUUGACAUCUUUUUCUUCCCUGUCUCGUUUUUUUAUUCCCUGCCACUAUUUCCUGGAUAUCCUAAAUUAAUGACUUGCACUCACAUUCUUGACCCAAAGUGGAGUUCUGGGGGAACCCAACCAAUGCACACAUCAUGUCCUUGUUUGUCCUAACUCCAGGACAAACUUACCAGCAGAGCAGAGACCACUUAAGAGCAGGGUCAACCUCAGCACAAUGAUUAAGUUAUCACGCCCCUCCCACCCCCACCGUCCUGUCUCUUCUGCAGCACUGUUUAACAAUUCAACCUUGCGGACAUGACUUUUUCUAGUUCAUAUAUUCUAUCUUAUUGAGUGCCACCUCUGCACCAGGGAUGAUGGAGGAGAGGAUAGAGAGCAAGAGGAAGAAAGAAAAUCCCAUCUUGUCCUAUAUAGGAUGCUCCCUUUUUACAACAGAAGCCUGCUUGGAGCGGAUCCCGAGGUGCCCAUGCACCUGAGUCAUUGCCAGUUGGUCUCAGCCUCACAGGACAUGGCCGAGUCAUUGUCCACCCCCACUUUAUGCUGCUGUUUUCAUUUGUCUCUGCCUACCCCUCCUAAUUACUUAGGUCACUUCAGACUUUAAUUCUGUCUUCUAAAGUGUAACAGCCAUAAUUAGGCCAUAUGUUAAUUAGCAAGAUGACGUCUUGUCACUCGUGAGAGAUGUGGAUCAUCGCAGAAAGUACCAUAGAAAGGGGAGUUCAGCAGGAAGAGGAAGUCUACGGAGGCUGGAAGUGACUCUCUGUCUAGCCAAAACUACCUUAGAGAGCAGGAGAAAAUGGCAGGAUGCAAGAGGGCAAAAGGAUGGGGUCACACGAAGAAAAAGAGCUAGAGUUGACCUCUUUUCUACUCCAGGAAUGAGCUGCAAGCCAGGAGACAAGCCUGAGGCCAAGAAGUCACCAGGGAUGGCAGAAUGUUCUGAAGGACUGGAGGUGGCCAGGGCUGAGGGCAAGGCCUCGAAGGAGGCAACGGGCAAGGAAAAGGUGGGCUGUUUUGCCUUCCUACCAUGGACGAGGAUCUUGAAGGAGAAACUUGGCAGAGCUUUUCCAUUCCCUGGGGCUUCGGCCAAGCAGUAGAGGAUGAAGGAGAACAUAUCUGCCAGAUGCUCUAGAUGCCACCAGGCAACCUCAGGGAAUGAGUGUACCAAGACUCUUUAGUCUGAGUCCUAGAAGAAAAGGAGAGAAGCACAGACAACUCAGCAGCCUGGAUUGAGGGAUCUGAUCAAGAUACAAAUAUUCACGGUAAAAACUCUAUAUGAGGACCCAGGGAGGAAGGAGACUCUUCCUUACAGUGGAUGUUACAAGACAGAGAGAUGGAAAUGGGAGCUUUUAGCCUUCUCUAGAUUUAAUGUCUAUGUCCCUUUCAUAGUGGUGGUGGUGCUGGUGGGGUUGUUGAUGGUAAUGAUGAUGCUAAAUGAGGGGAUUCCUGGGUGGCUCAGCGGUUUAGCGCCUGCCUUUGGCCCAGGGCAUGAUCCUGGAGUCCUGGGAUCGAGUCCCACGUCGGGCUCCCCGCAUGGAGCCUGCUUCUCCCUCUGCCUGUGUCUCUGCCUCUCUCUCUCUUCUCUCUCUCUCUAUCAUGAAUAAAUAAAUAAAAUCUUAAAAAAAUGAUGAUGCU
rnacentral:lncRNA from 12 species